rnacentral:ncRNA from 2 species
UAUCUUCAGGGCAGGGUGCAAUUCCCUACCGGCGGUUACAGCCCGCGAGCUUUUGAUAAGCAUGACUUGGUGAGAUUCCAAGGCCGACAGUACAGUCUGGAUGGAAGAAGAUU